rnacentral:rRNA from 1 species
CCUACGGGUGGCAGCAGUGGGGAAUAUUGCACAAUGGGGGAAACCCUGGUGCAGCAACGCCGCGUGAGCGAUGAAGGCCUUCGGGUCGUAAAGCUCUGUUGUUAGGGAAGAACACGUACGAGAGUCACUGCUCGUACCUUGACGGUACCUAACCAGAAAGCCACGGCUAACUACGUGCCAGCAGCCGCGGUAAUACGUAGGUGGCAAGCGUUGUCCGGAAUUAUUGGGCGUAAAGCGCGCGCAGGCGGUCUCUUAAGUCUGAUGUGAAAGCCCACGGCUCAACCGUGGAGGGUCAUUGGAAACUGGGGGACUUGAGGGCAGAAGAGGAGGGGGGAAUUCCACGUGUAGCGGUGAAAUGCGUAGAGAUGUGGAGGAACACAAGUGGCGAAGGCGACUCUCUGGUCUGUAACUGACGCUGAGGCGCGAAAGCGUGGGGAGCGAACAGGAUUAGAUACCCUUGUAGUC